rnacentral:misc_RNA from 1 species
GAAAUGCGAUAAGUAAUGUGAAUAGCAGAAUUCAGUGAAUCAUCGAAUCUUUGAACGCACAUUGCGCCCGCCAGUAUUCUGGCGGGCAUGCCUGUUCGAGCGUCAUUUCAACCAUCAAGCCCCCGGCUUGUGUUGGGGACCUGCGGCUGCCCGCAGGCCCUGAAAAACAGUGGCGGGCUCGCUGUCACACCGAGCGUAGUAGCAUACAUUCUCGCUCAGGGCGUGCUGCGGGUUCCGGCCGUUAAACGACCUUCAUAACCCAAGGUUGACCUCGGAUCAGGUAGGAAGACCCGCUGAACUUAAGC